UUCAUCUCAGACGUGUGCCACACAGAGAUCGAGUCUGCCUUCAUCUUACCACUCUCCAAACUUCCAUUCUCCCCUCUUUUCUCCAACUCAACGCAACCGUGACAAUUGCGCCGAAUUUCUCCACCUUCACUUUGAUGGUUAGGGGAGGAAGGUUUAGCGGCAAACGCAAUUUCAGGAAAAGGUUCGAUCAAAGGAGCUUGUGUUGAACCCUAAUGUUUGCUAAUUCGUGUUAUUGUUGCUGCUGUGCUGGAUUCAAUUGUUUCAGGCUCUUCAAAUUGUUGGAGAUUCUCUAUGACUUCAAUCCAAGCAAGAUCAAAGAUUUCUAUAAGAUCUCCAGAAUCAAGUGACCAGGAGAUUCAUGCAUGUGAAACAAAUCCAAAAAGAGACACAAACAAGAUACAUAGAGAGUGUGAGUGGAGAUGAAGAGGGCAAGAGAGUUGCUUGACAAUAUAUAUGAUUUGAUAAUAUUUUUUUGUUUGUGAAGGUUUUAAUUUUUUUUUUGGCCCUUGACUUGAAUGGGGUCAACAAAAAGACAGUGUGAGUGUUUGUGUGCAAUCACUACUAGAAAAUAAGGUUUUUACAUCGGUUAUUUAAGACUUUCAA